UGGGGAAUAUUGCACAAUGGGCGCAAGCCUGAUGCAGCCAUGCCGCGUGUGUGAAGACGGCCUUCGGGUUGUAAAGCACUUUCAGCGAGGAGGAAGGGUAGUGUGUUAAUAGCACAUUGCAUUGACGUUACUCGCAGAAGAAGCACCGGCUAACUCCGUGCCAGCAGCCGCGGUAAUACGGAGGGUGCAAGCGUUAAUCGGAAUUACUGGGCGUAAAGCGCACGCAGGCGGUUUGUUAAGUCAGAUGUGAAAUCCCCGCGCUUAACGUGGGAACUGCAUUUGAAACUGGCAAGCUAGAGUCUUGUAGAGGGGGGUAGAAUUCCAGGUGUAGCGGUGAAAUGCGUAGAGAUCUGGAGGAAUACCGGUGGCGAAGGCGGCCCCCUGGACAAAGACUGACGCUCAGGUGCGAAAGCGUGGGGAGCAAACA
rnacentral:rRNA from 1 species